UCGAUUAGAUACCCGUGUAGUCCCAGCCGUAAACGAUGCUCGCUAGGUGUCAGGCAUGGCGCGACCGUGUCUGGUGCCGCAGGGAAGCCGUGAAGCGAGCCACCUGGGAAGUACGGCCGCAAGGCCGAAACUUAAAGGAAUUGGCGGGGGAGCACAACAACGGGUGGAGCCUGCGGUUUAAUUGGACUCAACGCCGGACAACUCACCGGGGGCGACAGCAAUAUGUAGGCCAAGCUGAAGACUUUGCCUGAAUCGCUGAGAGGAGGUGCAUGGCA
rnacentral:rRNA from 1 species